rnacentral:rRNA from 1 species
UACGUAGGGGGCAAGCGUUGUCCGGAAUUAUUGGGCGUAAAGCGCGUGUAGGCGGCUUGGUAAGUCCGUUCUGAAAGCCCGGGGCUCAACCCCGGGAGGCGGAUGGAUACUGUCAAGCUUGAGUCCGGAAGAGGCGAGUGGAAUUCCCGGUGUAGCGGUGAAAUGCGCAGAUAUCGGGAGGAACACCAAUGGCGAAGGCAGCUCGCUGGGACGUGACUGACGCUGAGGCGCGAAAGCGUGGGGAGCAAACAGG